rnacentral:rRNA from 1 species
GAUGAACGCUGGCGGCGUGCUUAACACAUGCAAGUCGAACGGAAAGGCCCUGCUUUCAGGCUACUCGAGUUGCGAACGGGCGAGUAACUCGUGCGUGAUCUGCCCUGCACUUCGGGAUAAGCUUGGUAAACUGGGUCUAAUACCUGAUAGGUGCCAUCUUGAAUGUGGUGGUUGGAAAGUUAUUUCGGUGUAGGAUGACCUUGCUGCCUAUAAGCUUGUUGGUGGGGUCAUGGCCUACCAAGGCGGCGACGGGUAGCCGGCCUGAGUGGGUGUACGGACACUUUGGGACUGUGAUACGGCCAAGAGUCGGGAGGGAGGCAGCAGUGGGGAAUAUUGGACAAUGGGCGCAAGCCUGAUGCAGGAAGGCCGCGUGGGGGAUGAACGCCUUCGGGUUGUAAGAUCAUUUCGCUAGGGACGAAGCUUUGUUGUGACGGUACCUAGAUAAGAAGCACCGGCUAACUACGUG